GAUGAAGAACGUAGCAAAAUGCGAUAAGUAAUGUGAAUUGCAGAAUUCAGUGAAUCAUCGAAUCUUUGAACGCACAUUGCGCCCGCUGGUAUUCCGGCGGGCAUGCCUGUUCGAGCGUCAUUUCAACCCUCAAGCCCCCGGGUUUGGUGUUGGGGAUCGGCUCUGCCCUUCUGGGCGGUGCCGCCCCCGAAAUACAUUGGCGGUCUCGCUGCAGCCUCCAUUGCGUAGUAGCUAACACCUCGCAACUGGCACGCGGCGCGGCCAUGCCGUAAAACCCCAACUUCUGAAUGUUGACCUCGGAUCAGGUAGGAAUACCCGCUGAACUUAAGCAUAUCAAUAAGCGGAGGA
rnacentral:misc_RNA from 1 species